rnacentral:tRNA from 1 species
AUAUUUUAAGAUUAAAAAUCUCCAUAAUAUCUUCAAUAUUAUACUCUAAAUAAGCUAUUAAAAUA